GACCUGUGGUCCAGAAGGUCAUCGUGGAUGCGUGAAUAUUCACAUCCUCGGGGCAUCCAGGAAAAUGCCAGUGGAGACUCAGUGAGGUCCCAAACUUUUUCCAACACCCUGAUGGAUGACUCACCUAACCUGAUAACGCAGUGAGAAGAGGUUUUAAUGGCUGGUCUUAGUGGAAUGUCAUCCCCUUCAGAUCACGUUUACAUUUUAAUCCAGACCUUAAAUCCCUUACCUGGAAGGAUAAGAAAUGGCUACAGUGAGAAUCUCAGGCCUUUCUCAUCCCGUGAGCUGGUGAGGUAAUUCUACCACAUCAUGACCACAAACACCCAGCACUCGAUACUCCAAAAGGGAAGCCACGGGAAAGGCGGGGUGUGAAAAUCAGGAGUUCAGCCAAAACAUCCCAAAGUGAGAAAGACGUCCUGGCUGCCUGGAACCACUUUGAGGAGCCAAUGGUUAUCAACACCUUGUGAAGCCUUAGAAGCUUCCUCACUAGAGGUCCUGGCCCUCUCUCCUCCGUAAACCCAGAACCAGUCAACAGUUAUUUGUAGAGUCCUUUCUCCAAGGUGCUGGGCCGGAUGGGCCAUGCAGAGUCCACCGCCAUGAAAAAUGACAUUGCAAGGCUGUAAGUGUUAAGUAAAAAGUAUAACGCAAACGUCUGUGAGUUUUCAGAGUGGGAGACAACCAAUGACAGCCUCUUGAGUUUCUGUCCUUCAGUUUCAGGCUAAGUGGGUGCUCCAGUGACCCCUAGAUUGGCCUACUCCAGAGGCUCAAGGUAAAGGUACAAGCCAGGUCUACAUUAUGUAAACCAGGAUUGUGUGGUCAUUGUAAAACCGGUCAUGCACAGUUGUAGGAUGUAGGUAGUGCUCUGGUGAUGGCAGUAAUGAAUUGAAGGAGAGGGGAAUCAGCCAAGAGAGCACAUUCUAGCUACUACUGAUCCUUAAAUGGUUCACCUCCCUUUCCUUUCUAUGCCUCGAUUAAUGUUUUUAGGGCCAGAGAACCAAUUUAGCAAAGGAAAAGACAAUUGUAAUGUAUUCCCUAACUCUCUGCGUAAGUUCUGUGGCUCGGAUAAAAGAAAAUAUAAGUCUUCAGGGAAUGUUAUGAUCUAAUUUGGAACUUGUGAUCUAGUUUGGAAUAUCCAAUGAAUGUGCAAAAUGACUUGAUACUGAUGGGAGUGAGAUGGGGAUAUGAUACAGUGUCAGAGGCGGAAGAAGUGAGAUGAUGGGUUAGGGACAACAAUGACAGAGAAGAAGGCUUGGGUUAGACAUAUGAGCUUGGGUUGCAUUGGGUGUCUGGCUGUCUGGCAAGGAUAAGGACAGAGAAUUUCUGUGUGUGGAGCACAGAGUUUUCCAAGAAUAACAAUAGAAGACGUGGUGGUGAGGAGUAAUGGGAAAAAAGAGGUGGGAAGUACAGGAGUUAAGAACAUGGUUGUGAAUUCACAUUUGAAUCCCAACUCUCUUUCCUUGCAGCUGUGUGACCUCGGGCAAAUUAGUUAACCUCAGAGUCUCGGUCUCCUCUCUGUAAGAUGGAGCUGUAUACUUCAUCAGGUUGUGAGGAUUAAAAGAGACAACAAGGAGUUCCUGUCGUGGCACA